rnacentral:rRNA from 1 species
GACGGAGGAUGCAAGCGUUUAUCCGGAAUGAUUGGGCGUAAAGCGUCUGCAGGUGGCAGUUCAAGUCUGCUGUCAAAGACCGGGGCUUAACUUCGGAAAGGCAGUGGAAACUGAACAGCUAGAGUAUGGUAGGGGCAGAGGGAAUUCCUGGUGUAGCGGUGAAAUGCGUAGAGAUCAGGAAGAACAUCGGUGGCGAAGGCGCUCUGCUGGACCAUAACUGACACUCAGGGACGAAAGCUAGGGGAGCGAAUGGG